rnacentral:misc_RNA from 1 species
UUUCCGUAGGUGAACCUGCGGAAGGAUCAUUAUCGUACAAAAUGUGUGAGGCAUUGCAAGGGCUGUCGCUGACUUUUAAAUGCAAAAGUCGUGCACGCCAGUGUGUGUCCUCUCGCAUAAAAUCCAUCUCACCCUUUUGUGCACCACCGCGUGGGCACCCUUCGGGAUCCAACCGAUCCAGGAGGGGGGCCUGCGUUUUCACACAAAACCCCCUUUUAAAAAGUGUAGAAUGACCCCAUUUUUUGCAAUAACAUGCAAUCAAUACAACUUUCAACAACGGAUCUCUUGGCUCUC